GGUUUGUCGCGUUGUUCGUGAAAUCUCACGGCUUAACUGUGAGCGUGCGGGCGAUACGGGCAGACUUGAGUACUGCAGGGGAGACUGGAAUUCCUGGUGUAGCGGUGGAAUGCGCAGAUAUCAGGAGGAACACCGGUGGCGAAGGCGGGUCUCUGGGCAGUAACUGACGCUGAGGAGCGAAAGCGUGGGGAGCGAACAGGAUUAGAUACCCUGGUAGUCCACGCCGUAAACGGUGGGUACUAGGUGUGGGUUUCCUUCCUUGGGAUCCGUGCCGUAGCUAACGCAUUAAGUACCCCGCCUGGGGAGUACGGCCGCAAGGCUAAAACUCAAAGAAAUUGACGGGGGCCCGCACAAGCGGCGGAGCAUGUGGAUUAAUUCGAUGCAACGCGAAGAACCUUACCUGGGUUUGACAUGCACAGGACGCCGGCAGAGAUGUCGGUUCCCUUGUGGCCUGUGUGCAGGUGGUGCAUGGCUGUCGUCAGCUCGUGUCGUGAGAUGUUGGGUUAAGUCCCGCAACGAGCGCAACCCUUGUCUCAUGUUGCCAGCGGGUAAUGCCGGGGACUCGUGAGAGACUGCCGGGGUCAACUCGGAGGAAGGUGGGGAUGACGUCAAGUCAUCAUGCCCCUUAUGUCCAGGGCUUCACACAUGCUACAAUGGCCGGUACAAAGGGCUGCGAUGCCGCGAGGUUAAGCGAAUCCUUUUAAAGCCGGUCUCAGUUCGGAUCGGGGUCUGCAACUCGACCCCGUGAAG
rnacentral:rRNA from 1 species